rnacentral:rRNA from 1 species
AGCGCAGGCGGGAAGACAAGUUGGAAGUGAAAUCCAUGGGCUCAACCCAUGAACUGCUUUCAAAACUGUUUUUCUUGAGUAGUGCAGAGGUAGGCGGAAUUCCCGGUGUAGCGGUGGAAUGCGUAGAUAUCGGGAGGAACACCAGUGGCGAAGGCGGCCUACUGGGCACCAACUGAUGCUGAGGCUCGAAAGUGUGGGUAGCAAACA